AACUGAUACUACCUGCGGGAACCUGCGGAAGGAUCAUUACAGAGUUGAAAAACUCCCUAAACCCUUUGUUUAUAUACCUGUUCAGUUGCUUCGGCAGGCGGCCCCAGGGCGGGGCCUCCGGCCUGCUUAGGCAGGUGCCUGCCGCUGGCGCAAAAACUCUUGUUAUAUGUUACCACUCUGAGUCUCAAAAAAAUGAAUCAAAACUUUCAGCAAUGGAUCUCUAGAUCGGAAGAGCACACG
rnacentral:misc_RNA from 1 species